ACCGCGCGGCCCACGCCCUGGCCGGCCGGUCUUGAAAGGGAGUGCGCGCCCGCGCCAACUCGCGCAUGCCCGAGUGAGGGGCUCCGCCCUCUCGAACCGCCCCGCCAAACCGGUUCCAGCUGGAACGCAAUGCGUGGUCUGUACGGGAGUUGGAGUGGCCGUCCGUCCCUGCGGGCUCACCCUGGUGGCGACGCCUCGCUGUAGCAGAUGGUGGCAGAGUGUCAUAAGGGGCAGUGUCCUUUUCUUAACUCGGCACAAAAGUACUACAUGGACCAGCUGCAGCUCUGGCCAGAAGCCUGGCGAUCUGGUGGCUCCGGCUCUCCUAGGUGGCAGGAUCAAGAUGUAAAACUCUCAACUACUUCUGCCACACCAUGCCUACCUGCCUGCUGCCACGCUCCCCACCAUGAUGAUCUUGGACUAAGCCUCUGAAACUAAGCCAGCCUCCAGUUCCAUGCUUUCCUUUAUAAGAGUCACCUUGAGCCAGAUGGGAAACCAAGAGACUUGAGACAAAAUGAGGUUGUCCUCCCAUCCUUCUGCCACCUCCAUGGGGAAAACAUGGCCUGGCUGGGACACUGGCUCCUGAACAGCUUUUGGGCCCAGGGUAUAGGACACAGUGGGCAAAGGCGGCUGAUCGGCAAGCUCAUACCUAAGUGUUUGCUGUUGUCCCCCACUGAGAUGGUACACAAUGUAGAGUGUGACUGCGUAACGACCAAGAGAUAUCACGUUGGCCCCAGGACCAAGCAGGGAGAGAAAGGAUGAGCAAACUCUUAGAGGAGGAUUGGAAAAGGAGCCUGGAUUCUGCGUGGGUCAGGACUCCCAAGGAAAUCCACCUAGAGUGACUUCCCGUGUGCAGAUAGACUUGGGCAAGGCCUGCCUCCUUUGGAUAAGAGCUUAAAGAGAAAAUGCAAAAGAAACAGCCAACCUGUCAGGGACACUCAGGGGAAAUAGGAAGGGCCCAGAAAUGGCUGAGUUGGAAAAUAAAUCUGUCAGUUUUA